rnacentral:rRNA from 1 species
UACGGAGGGUGCGAGCGUUGUCCGGAAUCAUUGGGCGUAAAGAGCGUGUAGGCGGCUUGGCAAGUCUGACGUGAAAGCCCGCGGCUCAACCGCGGAUUGUCGUUGGAAACUGCCUCGCUAGAGUCCGGAAGAGGAGAGCGGAAUUCCUGGUGUAGCGGUGGAAUGCGCAGAUAUCAGGAAGAACACCCGUGGCGAAGGCGGCUCUCGUGGGACGGUACUGACGGCUGAGACGCGAAAGCGUGGGGAGCGAACAGG